rnacentral:lncRNA from 1 species
AAAUCGUAUAAUUCUAUGAUGACCGUUUUGAUUGUUAAAAAUAUCGUAUUUUAGAAUUCAUUGAAAAGAGGAUGGAGGUGAGAACAAUACCCCUGCCCCUCCCCUGCUUUAAUUUGAUAGUUACGCCUAUUUUGGUAUCAAAAUUUGAAAUUAAUUUUCCGUUCUUUCUUUAGACUUUUAUCCAGUUGGAUUUUUCCUUUUGUUAGAAUGAUAAAUGCGAUGUUGCCCU